UACGUAGGGUGCGAGCGUUAAUCGGAAUUACUGGGCGUAAAGCGUGCGCAGGCGGUGAUGUAAGACAGAUGUGAAAUCCCCGGGCUCAACCUGGGAACUGCAUUUGUGACUGCAUCGCUGGAGUGCGGCAGAGGGGGAUGGAAUUCCGCGUGUAGCAGUGAAAAGCGUAGAUAUGCGGAGGAACACCGAUGGCGAAGGCAAUCCCCUGGGCCUGCACUGACGCUCAUGCACGAAAGCGUGGGGAGCAAACAGG
rnacentral:rRNA from 1 species